rnacentral:tRNA from 1 species
UCCGAGGUAGCUCAAUGGUAGAGCAGACGGCUGUUACCCGUCAGGUUGUAGGAUCGUGCCCUACCCUCGGAGCCA